UAAUACGGAGGGGGCAAGCGUUGUUCGGAAUUACUGGGCGUAAAGGGCGCGUAGGCGGCCGGUUGCGUCGGAUGUGAAAGCCCUGGGCUCAACCCGGGAAUGGCAUUCGAUACGGGCUGGCUUGAAGUCGGAAGAGGAGAGUGGAAUUCCCAGUGUAGAGGUGAAAUUCGUAGAUAUUGGGAAGAACACCGAUGGCGAAGGCAGCUCUCUGGUCCGACCUUGACGCUGAGGCGCGACAGCGUGGGGAGCAAACAGGAUUAGAUACCCUGGUAGUCCACGCCGUAAACGAUGUGCGCUAGCCGUCGGGGGGCUUGCCCUUCGGUGGCGCCGCUAACGCAUUAAGCGCACCGCCUGGGGAGUACGGCCGCAAGGUUA
rnacentral:rRNA from 1 species